GCUGGGCGCCGUGGUGCAUGCCUGUAGUCCCAGCUACUGGGGAGGUUGAGGUGGGAGGAUCGCUUGAGUCCGGGAGUUCUGGGCUGUAGUGCGCUAUGCUGAUCAGGUGUCCGCACUAAGUUCAGCAUCAAUAUGGUGACCUCCCGGGAGUGGGGGACCACCAGAUCACCUAAGGACGAGUGAACCUGCCCAGGUCGGAAAUGGAGCAGGCCAAAACUCCUGUGCUGACCAGUAGUGGGAUCGUACCUGUGAAUAGCCACCACACUCCAGCCUGGGCAACAUAGUGAGACCGA
rnacentral:SRP_RNA from 1 species